rnacentral:rRNA from 1 species
GACGAACGCUGGCGGCGUGCUUAACACAUGCAAGUCGAGCGAGAAAGCUCCUUCGGGAGUGAGUAAAGCGGCGAACGGGUGAGUAUCACGUGGGCAACCUGCCCCAAGGAGCGGGACAACCCGGGGAAACCCGGGCUAAUACCGCAUGAUCCGCUAUGGCAUAAGUCGUAGUGGCAAAUGGUAGCUUCGGCCUCCGCCUUGGGAUGGGCCCGCGCCGCAUUAGCUAGUUGGUGAGGUAACGGCUCACCAAGGCAACGAUGCGUAGCUGGUCUGAGAGGACGAUCAGCCACACUGGGACUGAGACACGGCCCAGACUCCUACGGGAGGCAGCAGUGGGGAAUCUUGCGCAAUGGGCGAAAGCCUGACGCAGCAACGCCGCGUGAGGGAAGACGGCUUUCGGGUUGUAAACCUCUUUCAGGAGAGACGAAGCUUCCAGGGUUAAUAGCCCAUGGGGUGACGGUACUUCCAGAAGAAGCCCCGGCUAACUACGUG